UACGAAGGGUGCAAACGUUGCUCGGAAUUAUUGGGCGUAAAGCGCACGUAGGCGGCAUUGCAAGUCGGAUGUGAAAUCUUAUGGCUUAACCAUAAAAGUGCAUCCGAAACUGCAGUGCUUGAGUACUUAAGAGGAUCGCGGAAUUCCUGGUGUAGCGGUGAAAUGCGCAGAUAUCAGGAGGAACACCGGUGGCGAAGGCGGGUCUCUGGGCAACAACUGACGCUGAGGAGCGAAAGCGUGGGGAGCGAACAGG
rnacentral:rRNA from 1 species